AUUGAACGCUGGCGGCAUGCUUUACACAUGCAAGUCGAACGGCAGCGGGGCGUUCGGCCUGCCGGCGAGUGGCGAACGGGUGAGUAAUGCAUCGGAACGUGCCCAUGUCGUGGGGGAGUAACGUAGCGAAAGCUACGCUAAUACCGCAUACGCCCUGAGGGGGAAAGGCGGGGAGUUCUUCGGAACCUCGCGCGAUUGGAGCGGCCGAUGUCGGAUUAGCUAGUAGGUGAGGUAAAGGCUCACCUAGGCGACGAUCCGUAGCGGGUCUGAGAGGAUGAUCCGCCACACUGGGACUGAGACACGGCCCAGACUCCUACGGGAGGCAGCAGUGGGGAAUUUUGGACAAUGGGCGCAAGCCUGAUCCAGCCAUGCCGCGUGAGUGAAGAAGGCCC
rnacentral:rRNA from 1 species